rnacentral:lncRNA from 1 species
UCACGGUUGUUUUGAUACUAAAUAUUAUUGAACGAACAUAGGUACGAAAUUUGAUAGCUAACUAUGGUGGGCUAAAGUUGUUUGAUAUGCAUGUCUUAAAUCUCUUAUUAUUGAACAUUUAUUCGUUAUUUUUUGAACUAUAACAUUUAUUCUUUAUUUCAUAGUCGCUUAAUUUCUUCUGCAUACAUACACUAUAUGUUUGGUAAUAUCAUAAGAAUAAUUGGGCCUUAGAGCAUCUCCAAAAAACAUUUUAUAACUUCAAAUAUGAAGUUUUUUGUUUUCCAAAAAGAAACUUCAAAACUUCAAAUUUGAAGUUUGGAGGAGUGAAACUCUAUAUUUGAAGUUUCACUAUUCAAAACUUCAAAUUUGAAGUUUCAUAUUUUUAUUUGCAUUUUGGUCCCUACAAUUACACAUCACAUUUAUAAUUCAUAAAUAUUUUCUUGUUUAUUGUUUAAUCCUUAUAAAAAUUACAUCUCAUAAAUAUUUUAAGUUUUGUUUAUAAAAUUGAAGUUAACACAUAAAAUUAAAUAAAACUUUAAAACAAGAUUUAAAAUAUUUAAAACUAGUUUUAGAUAACAAAAGUAUACAAAAGAAACUUAACAAAAAAGCUUUUAAAAAAUUACAUGAAGAUA